rnacentral:rRNA from 1 species
AUUGAACGCUGGCGGCAGGCCUAACACAUGCAAGUCGAACGAGUGGCGGACGGGUGAGUAAUGUCUGGGAAACUGCCUGAUGGAGGGGGAUAACUACUGGAAACGGUAGCUAAUACCGCAUACCAUCGGAUGUGCCCAGAUGGGAUUAGCUAGUAGGUGGGGUAACGGCUCACCUAGGCGACGAUCCCUAGCUGGUAUGAGAGGCUGACCAGCCACACGGGAACUGAGACACGGGCCAGACUCCUAAGGGAGGCAGCAGUGGGGAAUAUUGCACAAUGGGCGCAAGCCUGAUGCAGCCAUGCCGCGUGUAUGAAGAAGGCCUUCGGGUUGUAAAGGACUUUCAGCGGGGAGGCGUUACCCGCAGAAGAAGCACCCGCUAACUCCGUGCCAGCAGGCGCGGUAAUUC